GCAGGUGUAGUUCAGUGGUAGAACAUCAGCCUUCCAAGCUGAUUAUGCGAGUUCGAUUCUCGUCACCUGCUCCA
rnacentral:tRNA from 1 species